CACGUAGGGCGCAAGCGUUGUCCGGAAUCAUUGGGCGUAAAGCGCACGUAGGCGGUUCGUUAUGUCGGAUGUGAAAGCCCUUGGCUUAACCGAGGAAGUGCAUCCGAAACUGGCGAGCUAGAGUACGAAAGAGGAUCGCGGAAUUCCCGGUGUAGAGGUGAAAUUCGUAGAUAUCGGGAGGAACACCGGUGGCGAAGGCGGCGAUCUGGGCCGGCACUGACGCUGAGGAGCGAAAGCGUGGGGAGCGAACGGG
rnacentral:rRNA from 1 species